rnacentral:rRNA from 1 species
UACGUAGGGCGCAAGCGUUGUCCGGAAUCACUGGGCGUAAAGCGCACGUAGGCGGACUCUUAAGUCAGGGGUGAAAUCCUGGAGCUCAACUCCAGAACUGCCUUUGAUACUGAGAGCCUUGAGUUCGGGAGAGGUGAGUGGAACUGCGAGUGUAGAGGUGAAAUUCGUAGAUAUUCGCAAGAACACCAGUGGCGAAGGCGGCUCACUGGACCGGUAUUGACGCUGAGGUGCGAAAGCGUGGGGAGCAAACAGG